AACGCGAACUCUGGAACAUAUAUUUUCUUAAGAAAAUUCCUCUGAUGCUCUGUUUCCAGGCCACCAUGGACUAUGCUUUUUUCCUGAUGAUGCACCCCAAACAGAGAGCUGGCACACACACACACAAAAGCAGUAACACUGAUACAUGUCCACUCAAAGAAAUGAUCAUUUUUUCCCGAGUAACAAUGUGAAAGGAGAAGAAGAACGUAAGUUGAGUUUUAACACCCUUCAAUAGAAGAUACAGGCCAUAUAAUGUUUCCAUAAUAGCAAAUAUUGAGAAGUAAAUUUUCUUAAUAUUCUGUUAUGGCACAUCCAUGGAUGAGUGCACUGUCCAUGCAUUUGCAGUUGUGAAUCAUGAGAGGGCAGAGAUCAAUGUUUGAGAGAGGUAUAUUAUAAUUACCAAGGCAGGUAUGUAUAUGUAUAUUGCAACAACACUUGUUGCAAUUAAUUGCAGUAAGUGUGAAAAGAAAAAUCACUGACUCGCAGGUGAAAGAUCCUACACAGGGAGCUGCCUCCUAAGCAGAAACAAAGCCCUUUGUCAAAAGGUGGCCCUCUGAAAUUUUGAAAUGUCCCAGUCUCUGAUUCACAAGUUGGAGACUGGCCCAACUAUCUAGAUUUGGGCUCAGAUUCUCUGGAAAGCAAUCUGGCAGUACUUAGGGAUAAUGUAUGCUGGGUAGUCUCUGAAAACAGAGCCUGAGACAAAGGCUUGUCUAUAGGUAGUUCAUUUAGGAAGCAAUAACAGGGAGUAGGAAUGAGGAACUGGGGACUGAAAAAGGGAAGGAGAGAAAAGUAGUACAAGGAUGAGUUGCUGGCAACCACUUCUGGCAACUUAUAUUCAAUUCCAUAGGGAUCUCGGUAAGAGCUCUAAGAACUCUGUCUCGGAACACAAUUCCCCCAGGUUGCAGGGUGUAGGGGGGAGGAUGGAGGGGGACCAGAAGCAUUUACCCCUUGGCUCCUAUCUUCCAAAAGUCAAGGGCAGCCUUGUGGCUGUUAUUACCCCAUUUCAUUGUGCAGGAAUGAGUGCUGAGCAGAUUCCUCACAUUCCACCCUCUGCCUUAGAGAAGUCCCAGAGCAGGAAAGGAGAGGUCCUGCUGCCCCAGCACCGAGCUGGCUGCAGCCCUGUCCGUGCACUGCCGAGCUCUGGUCUCUGCAGGGAUGGCUAGGAGAGGAGGUGAGAUGAGAGGAUGCUAGUUAUAUACAAGAGGGACUGGAUAGAGACAAUCAUAUUUCAGUCCUACAGCCCACCAAUGCCUCUCCUGCACAUACAGAUCAAAGUAAUUCUGCCUCAGGUCUCUAAGGGAACAACUAUGAGGAUAUUCGCUAUGUCACUGUGGCAGGUGUCUAUUGCUAGAGGAAUGAAAAUGUAAAAUGUGGGGGAUACAUACCACAAAAUGUUAUGCUGCAGUUAGAGCAAUACAGUCAAUGUAAAUCCAGCAACAUAAAUAGGCCUUAAAGAAUUAGUGGCGAGUUUUUAAAAAUUAGAAACAGAAUGAGAUUUAUGAUACAAUAUUAUUUAUGUAAUUACUCAUUCAUACCCAAUAACACUAAAUAGAGUAUAAAGAUAUAUUUCUCUUAAGGACAUAUAUCAAGGAAGGCAUGUAUAAGAGGGUGGUGAAUGUGAAUAGGGAUUAGAGAUGAAGGUGAAAGUUAAAACAAAAAGGAGGCUUUGCAUGAACUGAUGAUAACAGUUUGCUAUAGUUGCGGAAUGUAAUUUUAAAUUAAUUCUCUCUACUUCAGCUCUGAAAAAAAGAACAAAAUAUAUGUGGGAUGUAAUAUAUAUGCCAUAACUUUCCUUCUCCCAAACCCAUAGGUAGACAUCAGCAAGCAACCAUAUUCCUUUUUUCAUCUCUCCCUAGGUACAGCUCUUAGCUCUCUCUCUCUCCAUCAACUAGAGAAUAUGCAUUAUUUGAGACAUAUUUUAAAAUCAGAGUUGGCAAAGUACUUGAUCCUUUUAGCUAAAAGUUGUAAAUAUAUUUCAAAAAUUUGAGAUGCAAGUAUGAAUUGUGAUCAAGAAUGGAAGAAAGACCCCGAAACUUAAUGGUGGAAGUCAAAAUGGAAUGUGUUAAAGAUUAAAUAAAAAUCCCUCCUUUACCCAGAAAAAGGGUCCUCUCUUUUUUCUCUCAGAGUGCCCAACUCAAGCAGAGUUGGAAAUAGUACAAGUAAGAAAGUGAACAAAACACCCUAAAUGAUCAGAAGACAGAAUCGCAGGAUGAAAUUAAAGGCCUAGAGUGAUGAGUCCUCUUAAAACAUCUGUGCUUUUGAUAAACUUUGCGCUUCCCUUAUCACUAACUAGAACUGAGGAAUAUAUUUGUGUUUUUCUUUUUUGCCUUUAGCUUCCAAGAUAUUCAGAGUUUAACUUUUGCUCAAAGACAGAUACAAAAAUGAGGCAGUUGGAGAAAGGUGUUUCGUUUAAACAAAACAAAAUAAAACAAAACAAAAAAGUAAAUGCUAUUAAGAUGAUGGACCUUGAAAUCAUUAAGCUAAGUGAAAGAAGCCAGACACAAAAGGCCACAUAUUUUAUUCUUUCAUUUAUAUGAAAUGUCCAGAAUAGGCAAAUCCAUGGAGACAGAAAGUAGAUUAACGGCUUUUUUAGGAUUGGAGAAAGGAAGGGAGAAUGAUGUGGCGGGUGGGGAGUAGGAAGACGGAGAGUGAAUAUAAAUAGGUAUGGGGUUUCUUUGGGGGGUAAUGAACACAUUCUAAAAUAAAAUAGUGGUUGGUGAUGGUUUCACAAUUCUAUGAAUAUACUUAAAGCAGCUGAAUUUCACACUUUUAAAGGGUGAGUCUUAUAGUGUGUGAAUUACAUCUCAAUAAAGCUCUGUGUGUGUGAGUGUGUGUGUGUGUGUGUGUGUGUAUCAGCAAAAGGAGUGGCAGACUGUAAUAGGCAGAUAACCAAUGUGGAAAGAAGAAUGUGCCCUGGAAAUGUGGGGAUCGAUCAACCACAUAGCAGCUGUGAGACUUUAGGUUCAACCUUACCUUGGACUUCAAUUUCUUCACCAACAUGUAAAGCCACAAAUUUGGAGUAGAGAAAUCUCAGCCCUUUCCAAAUAUGAAAUGUGUUAAAAUUAUUAGUACUUUGUAAUGCUUGCUCAUGUUCUCCAAAGGUCAAGAGUAUCUUUGAUUAUGGAAAUUAAAAUUACAUAAACAACAAAUAUAGGAGACAGAAAAAAAGCCAGAGCUGGUCACCUCAGAAAUAAAGAUCUGGGCUAGAGAUAAACAGUGAGAGUACAGGAGUAGGUGAAAUUACCGAAGGGGACUAUAUAAAAAUGAGACUAAAAAAGGUCUAAAGAUGUGCAUCCAAAAACAUUAAGGCAUUAUCAAAUGAAUUUAUUCAUUCACUCAACAAAUAUUUAUUGAGCACCUGCUAUACACCAAGCAGAGCUCUAGCAGCAGAUGGUGAAUGAAAGAGAUGUCUCUGUUCUCACUGGCUUAUAUUUUAGUCAAAGUGAGAAGACUGACAAGAAACACAUAAACAUACAUUUAGAAAUAAAAAAUACUAGGAGGAAAAUGUAACAGAGUAAUCUGACAGAAAGUGCCUUGGCAGGAGCGGAAGGUCGAUACUCUAGAUAGUGGUCAGGAAAGGCCCCUCUAGCUCUUUUGAACGAGGACUUGAUUCCAGUAUGGUUGGAUUUAUAAAGUACUGUGUACACAGGACUUAGCAAGGAUGUAGACACUGUAUAAACAAAAUUCAUCUGAAUUCUCUUCUGACUUGCAGGAAGAUCUGGAAGGAAACAAUCCAGAACUUCUUGUUCUUGUGGAGCAGCACAGAUUAGUGUUUGGAGGCAUGAAAGGUGCGGUAUCUGAGCAGAGGCCUGAGUGAAGAGGGAGACGGCUCUUUGAUGGAUCUGAAGGAGCAGCAUGUGGAAAGAGGACCUGAGGGAGAAACAGGACUGCUGUUUGUAGAACCAGAGGAAGACCAUCUGGAGUGUAGUGAGUAAGGGAAGGAAAGAUUUAAAAAACAAGUCAGAGAAGAAAGGAGUAUUUCUUACUCCCAGUGUGAUGGAAAGCUAUUGGAGGGAUCUAAGCUUCAAUUUCUUCACCUGUGUUGCGUAAUACCUGACAGGGUUGUGGUUAAGAUCCCCAGCACAAGUCAAAGGAUACAUAAAAUUAGGCCAAUCACAGGAAACUCCUGAGAGGUAGCCGGAAGCGGCACAGAUGUAGCAGGUAAGGAUUCAUGUGGUGAUGAAUUCAGAGGAACUAAUGCCAAAUAUAGCUACAGUUUGGUGGUGGGAUUAUGAACUACCAUUUAUGAUCUAAAAAAACAAGUCCAGAAAUCUAUGUAAUACAUCCUAGAAACUCUGAACUAUCAGCUCUUUGAGAGCAGAGAUCUCGUUCUGUUUGCUUUCUAUUUACUUCCCAGCAGAGUGUCUGGCACAGAGUAAAUGUUUAACGGUAUAUUGCCAUCUCGAGUCACACCAAGAAGUCAGUAUGAUUCCAAACCUACCAAUGCACAAGCUCCUAGGAAACUGCCAUCCUUUAAAGAAGUUAUAUGAUCUAAGAAAGGGCAACUACACUGGUGAAAAAAUUGGAAGCAAUAUGCUGAUUGCAAAAACAACCUUUGAGAUCAUGAAAUAUAAAGGCGUAUGAUGAAAACCUACAACAGCAUGAAAGAUCCAGAAAGAGCAACUCGGGUCUAUCUGCUAAAGCUCAGCUUAUCAGGCCUGGGGUUUGCCCUUUAAAUUUUGAAAGAUGGAAAUUUUAGAGGAGGAAAGGUAAUUUAUAUCUGGAGCCCAAUAAUCCCAGAGGUGGGAAAGGCAAAUCACCAUCCGGUGUAAUUUGGAUACCCAGGGUUUUAUGCCAUAUCAAGCUCACCAUAACGUCCAGAUGUUAAAGAUAAGGAGACAAUCAUGUGUGUAUCUACCACUGAUUCUAUGAGGAUAUUUUUCACGAGUUCUUAGUUGGAAGGUGGCAUGCCCAACUCAGAACAGCAAUUUGUAUGAGAUGGGUAUAGUAUUUCAAAAGGAGUUCAAAGUCCAGGUCCUAAAUGAGGACUUGAUUCCCCAAAAUGGUUGGAUUUAUAAAUUAUUAUGUACACAGGACUCUGCGAGGACACAGACACUUUGUAAAUAAAGUUUAUCUCACUUCUCUUCUGACUUGCAGGUAGAUUUGGAAUGAAACAAUCUAAAACUUCUUAUAAUUGGUGAUGCAGCAUGGAUUAGCGGUUAGGGGCAUGGACUAUGCACACAGAUUGCCUGUGUUUGAAUCCUUGUUUUAUUACUGACUUACUGUUUGACUUCUCUGUGCCUGAAUUUCCUCAGCUCUAAAAUUGGGAUAGUAAGGGAGAAUUUUCUGAUAUUUAAGUGACCUAAUAUUUGUCAAACACUUGGAAAGGUGUCUAGCAUAUGGUAAGCUCUUAAAGUAAACCAAAUGCUACCUAGACCACUCUCCUUGUCCAAAGCACAGGAGAUUGUUUGGAUGGAUCUAACACUGGAGUUGGUUGCUUUUCUUUUGGAUAUGGUAGGUAACAGACCAGAUGUAUGCUAAGUAGCAAACAAAGGCCUCUUUAGAAUUUAAAAUGCACAAGGAAAACUUCCGUUAACAUAAUUAGCAUUCUGAGUAGUUCACACAGCACAGGAAUUCCUGUCCUUUCCUAGAGAAGCCACAAGGACACACACACGCACACAAAGAAGGUAAUUGCAUUAGUGCUGGCUUCCCAAUGCUCAGGAAUUUCCGGACCUAUUUUGCAGCCUGCUGCUUUCAGGGAGGAGGGGCAGUCUGCUCAGAAUUCUAACACCCAGCCUGCCAACUGGGAAGAUGAAUGGAAGUUUCUCCAAAAGAAGUCACAAGACGGAAAAAACCUGGGUCCUGGAAUACCACAUUGAAGGCCAUCCACUAGGAAGUUCUUGGAAAAAAAUGUUCCACCAAAAUGAGGGAGUAAACCUCAAAAAAAGGCAUGGAUCCAACAAAUAAGAGUCAAAAGGAAUCCCUAGGAUGAUGGUGAAGGG